ACCCGAAAGAUGGUGAACUAUGCUUGAGCAGGAUGAAGCAGCAGGAAACCCUGAUGGAGGUCCGAAGAGAUUCUAAUGUGCAAAUCAACUGUCUCACUUCGGUACGGAGGCCAAAGAUUAAUCUAACUAUUUAGUAGCUAG
rnacentral:ncRNA from 1 species